CAAAUAUUUUUUCAAGAGUAUUAUCUAAAUGCCCAAAUCAAACCUACACCCUAGGUGUUAAAGUAAAUGUCUAAAAGCAAUGCAUGCCCCUCAUGUCCAUAAUAUGAAAAUAUAAACUAUCUUUCAUUUAUAUAAAGAGCAAAAUCUUGAGUUCAUACCACAGCGCAUGGGAUUUUAUCUUCUACAGGAAGUGUGCAUUGGUCACGUUUAAAGUGACGGAUCCAUAAUGUUCACCGGUGCAACUUUCCAAAGUCUUCUGUUGGUGGCGAUCUGUCUCGUAAGCUGGGCCGUCCCACAGGAGAGACGGAUGGAGACCCCGGAACGCCCAGGAGACCUUCAUGGAGAAGAUCUGCUGAAGGACAGAUCACUGGGUUCAGACUCCUCCGGUCUAUCUCUCCCCAACACUUCCCUGACCAUCACACGGUCAUCUGCAGCGCAUGGAAACCAGGACAGACGCUCCCGGAUGGAUGAGCGACGGAACACAACGCCUCCGUCCUCCGGAGACUCUCAUGUCCCUCUGUCUCUGACGACGCCUCCUGCUGGAGAUCUGGAGAGAAGCUCGUCUGCGGAGGACAGAGGACCGACUCCUUCAGCUCUUCAGACAGACUCGUUCAGAGACUCCACGGCUGAAUCCGGACUGAGCUUCGGCUCCAGACUGCUGGACGCUCCGGAGACCUGGACGGAGGCCGAUCAUCUGCAGGCAGAGGAAGUGAGCGUCUUCCCUUCCUCUCAGGACGUCAGCACUGAGGCCACCAUGUCCUCCGAAGACCUUCCUUUGAUUUUUGAGCCGUUUGAGGACGUCACGGCACCCGGAGCAUCAUCCGGACCGUCUGUCGCCAUGACGCCAGCGGCCGUAACCGCGGGAGACCCAGAGCUGGAGCGGAUGGUGUCCAUGGAUACGGAUCACACUUCCUCUGACGUCCGUCUCUCAGGAAUGCUGGAGACGUCUGGAGUGACAGAGCCAAUCACAGAACCCCAUCCGGAAGCAGAGCAUUAUGGGACGACACAACGUGAUGACGUCACACAGAGCUCCGUUACCCAUCAGCCUCUGACGGUCUCUGAGCGCGAAUCGAAAGGUUUGUACGUGUGUUUAAAGCAGCGGCGCUGGUGUCCGACGCGCUGAGAGCUGACCGUCUCUGUGUUACAGAGGAGCCCGAUGAAGAUGAGGAGGAUGAGGUAGCUGGACUCUGAUGAGGAGGAGAGCGAGGAGGACCUGACAGAGAGCGCCAUGGCACCGCCGUACAGCCUGAUCCCUCCUCCUCCAGUCUGGGUGCAGCGGAACCAGGGCCUGG
rnacentral:lncRNA from 1 species